UGACGGGGGCCCGCACAAGCGGAGGAACAUGUGGUUUAAUUCGAUGAUACGCGAGGAACCUUACCCGGGCUUGAAAUGCAUCUGACCGACGAGGAAACUUGUCUUCUAGCAAUAGCAGAUGUGUAGGUGCUGCAUGGUUGUCGUCAGCUCGUGCCGUGAGGUGUCGGCUUAAGUGCCAUAACGAGCGCAACCCCUAUCAUUAGUUACUAACAGGUUAAGCUGAGGACUCUAGUGAGACUGCCACCGUAAGGUGUGAGGAAGGUGGGGAUGACGUCAAAUCAGCACGGCCCUUACGUCCGGGGCGACACACGUGUUACAAUGGGGGGUACAGAGGGUUGCUACUUGGUGACAAGAUGCUAAUCUCUUAAAGCCUCUCUCAGUUCGGAUCGAAGUCUGCAACUCGACUUCGUGAAGCUGGAUUCGCUAGUAAUCGCGCAUCAGCCAUGGCGCGGUGAAUACGUUCCCGGGCCUUGUACACACCGCCCGUCAAGCCAUGGAAGCCGAGGGGG
rnacentral:rRNA from 1 species